CGGCACGGGCGGCAGCGCCGGGGGGCCGCGGUGGAGCUGCGGAGAGAGAGAGGGAGAUCAGGAAUGCCCGCAUCCCGCCGGGAAUGUCGCCUCGGGAGCACCUGGGAAGAGCAGGGGAGGAAGGUGAGGGUGGGAUGGAUUCCCCCCUACACACCCCUGCGGCCCUAAAAACUGCCCGAGGCCAGCUCCCUGAUCGACCAGUCCAAUGAAAUUUGGGGUUUUCCAGGGAUUUGGGGUUUUGCAGGGAUUUGACGCCCCUCGGGCACCACAAUCCCAUGGGCAGCAGCCCCGUGUCACCCCCGAGCCAGGGGUGCCCUGGGGCUGUGCUGGUGGUGUGGGGACCUCAGGACAACCCCUGGCAUUGCCACCCUGAGGGAUCAGCCAAAUUAACUCCGGGAUUUUCCAGCAGGGAAAAAGGGAUGGUCUGGCCGGCAGAGCUGGGCAAAGCCGGUUGAGCAGCACGGGGCACUCCGCUGGAGAGGCUGGGAAGGGAUUCCUGGUGUCUCCAGGAGAAGCAGCUUCGCCUUCCCGGGCCCAGGGAGCCGCCGAGGGAGCGCCGGGAGCCGGAGCCGGAUGCAAACGAGGAGGAGAACUCCCAUUUUUAGCAGCCAGGUGAUUAUGGAGCGUCAGAACAAACCCUGCCCAGGGGGAGCCGAGGGUUUUUUGCCCUCUCCCGACGUCUUUCAAGCCCAGGCUGGAUGAUGGUUCCUGGGGAUGGGGCCGGUUCAAAGCUCGGAAAAGCCGCUGCCUUUGAGUCCCCAACCUCAAACACCCACUGGCUUUUUGUAUUCAAAUGCUCUCCCCCCAAAAAAAUAAUAUAAAAUAAUAAAAAAAUAGAUCCAAGCGU